rnacentral:rRNA from 1 species
GUGUCAGCAGCCGCGGUAAGACAGAGGGUGCGAACGUUGUUCGGAAUUACUGGGCGUAAAGCGCGUGUAGGCGGCCACGCAAGUCGGAUGUGAAAUCCCUUGGCUCAACUGAGGAAGUGCAUUCGAAACUGCGUGGCUUGAGUCCCGGAGAGGAUGGUGGAAUUCUCGGUGUAGAGGUGAAAUUCGUAGAUAUCGAGAGGAACACCGGUGGCGAAGGCGGCCAUCUGGACGGUGACUGACGCUGAGACGCGAAAGCGUGGGGAGCAAACAGGAUUAGAUACCCUGGUAGUCC